GGGAACGGAACGAUCACAACUGCUGUAGAAUGUUGGUGGGCAGGGCUGGUGCCUGGUACCACUAUGAGGCACAGUGACUACUGUUGUGGUGAGCUGAUGGGAAGGGCUGGCACCCAGUCCACAUGUGAUGCUUGGAUGUGACUGCUGCAGUGUGUUGCACACCUGGACUAGGUCACAACAAUGGCCACCACCAAUGUCUCAGUCUCCAGAGAGGUCUCUCCUUUCAGUGAGAUGCACCCAGAGCCCACCAGGUUGUGGACCCAAGGAUGAGGUCAACUGAGAAGAUAGCAAGACUGAAAGAGAGAGAAAUUGAGGUCUGAUUAUAUGAAGCAUGAAGCAUGACCAGUCUCUGGGACUUUUCAGCAUAUAUGAGCUAAU
rnacentral:lncRNA from 1 species